rnacentral:rRNA from 1 species
AACGCGAAGAACCUUACCUGGGCUUGAAAGCUAGGAUUAUCCCUAUGAAAGUAGGGUAGGCCCUUCGGGGUACAACUAGUACAGGUGCUGCAUGGCUGUCGUCAGCUCGUGUCGUGAGAUGUCGGGUUAAGUCCCUUAACGAGCGAAACCUUUGCCCUUAGUUACCAUCGGGUUAUGCCGGGGACUCUAAGGGGACUGCCGGUGUCAAACCGGAGGAAGGUGGAGAUGACGUCAAGUCCUCAUGGCCUUUAUGCCCAGGGCCACACACGUGCUACAAUGGGGUGCACAAAGCGAACCAAGAGCGCAAGCUGGAGGAAAUCGCAGAAAUCACCCCCCAGUUCAGAUCGGAGGCUGCAACUCGCCUCCGUGAAGAUGGAAUCGCUAGUAAUCGCGGAUCAGCUACGCCGCGGUGAAUACGUUCCCGGGCCUUGUACACACCGUACGUC